AUCAGGUGACAGAAGUUUGUCUGCUUGGUGGAUUUAUGUGUACCAUUAUUGUAUGAUGGAGAGUACACCAUCUGGAUCUGACCACUAAAACCUGAGGAGGAAAAUAACAGGGACAAUUUACAACAAAACAUAAGUCUCAGAAGUGAGAAGUGAUGCGUUGCACCAGAGCUAACAGCUCAUUUACAUCUGCAGUCCCCAGGCAGAGAAAAACAUCAGCCACCAGCUACACAACAGAUAGAAAUAAGCCAAGAUCAACCUACAGAAUGUCAAACCACCCACACAAUUCUUUAAUAGACUU